UGGGGAAUAUUGGACAAUGGGGGAAACCCUGAUCCAGCAAUGCCGCGUGUGUGAAGAAGGCCUUAGGGUUGUAAAGCACUUUCGCCCGCGAAGAUGAUGACGGUAGCGGGAGAAGAAGCCCCGGCUAACUCCGUGCCAGCAGCCGCGGUAAUACGGAGGGGGCUAGCGUUGUUCGGAAUUACUGGGCGUAAAGCGCACGUAGGCGGCUCGGAUAGUUAGGCGUGAAAGGCCUGGGCUUAACCUGGGAACUGCGCUUAAUACUGGCGAGCUUGAGUCCGGAAGGGGGUGGCGGAAUUCCCAGUGUAGAGGUGAAAUUCGUAGAUAUUGGGAAGAGAACCGGUGGCGAAGGCGGCCACCUGGUCCGGAACUGACGCUGAGGUGCGAAAGCGUGGGGAGCAAACA
rnacentral:rRNA from 1 species